UACAGAGGUCUCAAGCGUUUGUUCGGAUUCAUUGGGCGUAAAGGGUGCGUAGGUGGCGGGGUAAGUCAGGUGUGAAAUCUCGGAGCUCAACUCCGAAACUGCACUUGAUACUGCCUUGCUCGAGUACUGGAGAGGAGAUUGGAAUUUACGGUGUAGCAGUGAAAUGCGUAGAUAUCGUAAGGAAGACCAGUGGCGAAGGCGAGUCUCUGGACAGCAACUGACGCUGAGGCACGAAGGCCAGGGGAGCAAACGGG
rnacentral:rRNA from 1 species